AGUUUGAUCCUGGCUCAGGAUGAACGCUAGCGGCAGGCCUAAUACAUGCAAGUCGAACGGGAUUGGAGAGCUUGCUUUCCAUGAGAGUGGCGUACGGGUGCGUAACGCGUAUGCAACCUACCUUCAUCAGGGGGAUAGCCCGAAGAAAUUCGGAUUAACACCGCAUAACAUUAUUGGAUGGCAUCAUUUAAUAAUCAAAUAUUUAUAGGAUGAAGAUGGGCAUGCGUGUCAUUAGCUAGUUGGUGAGGUAACGGCUCACCAAGGCGACGAUGACUAGGGGAUCUGAGAGGAUGACCCCCCACACUGGUACUGAGACACGGACCAGACUCCUACGGGAGGCAGCAGUAAGGAAUAUUGGUCAGUGGAGGCAACUCUGAACCAGCCAUGCCGCGUGCAGGAAGACUGCCUUAUGGGUUGUAACUGCUUUUAUACGGGAAUAAACCUUCAUUCGUGAAUCGAGCUGAAUGUACCGUAAGAAUAAGGAUCGGCUAACUCCGUGCCAGCAGCCGCGGUAAUACGGAGGAUCCAAGCGUUAUCCGGAUUUAUUGGGUUUAAAGGGAGCGUAGGCGGCCUAUUAAGUCAGGGGUGAAAGACGGUGGCUCAACCAUCGCAGUGCCUUUGAUACUGGUAGGCUUGAAUGUAGUUGAGGUAGGCGGAAUGUGACAAGUAGAAAGUGAAAUGCAUAGAUAUGUCACAGAACACCGAUUGCGAAGGCAGCUUACUAAGCUAUGAUUGACGCUGAGGCUCGAAAGCGUGGGGAUCAAACAGGAUUAGAUACCCUGGUAGUCCACGCCCUAAACGAUGAUAACUCGAUGUUGGCGAUAUACAGUCAGCGUCCAAGCGAAAGCGUUAAGUUAUCCACCUGGGGAGUACGCCCGCAAGGGUGAAACUCAAAGGAAUUGACGGGGGCCCGCACAAGCGGAGGAGCAUGUGGUUUAAUUCGAUGAUACGCGAGGAACCUUACCCGGGCUUGAAAGUUACUGAAGAAUUUAGAGAUAGAUUCGUCCUUCGGGACAGGAAACUAGGUGCUGCAUGGCUGUCGUCAGCUCGUG
rnacentral:rRNA from 1 species